UACAGAGGUGGCAAGCGUUGUUCGGAAUUACUGGGCGUAAAGGGCGCGUAGGCGGCAUGGCAAGUCAGGUGUGAAAGCCCCGGGCUCAACUCGGGAACUGCAUCUGAAACUGCUGUGCUUGAGUCCUGGAGGGGGUAGUGGAAUUCCCAGUGUAGCGGUGAAAUGCGUAGAUAUUGGGAGGAACACCGGUGGCGAAGGCGGCUACCUGGACAGUGACUGACGCUGAGGCGCGAAAGCUAGGGGAGCGAACGGG
rnacentral:rRNA from 1 species